CUGAGUUAUCAAACUCCAAACCCAUGUGAACAUACUCUUGUUGCCUCGGCGGCGAGCCUACCCGGGACCUACCCGGUACCUACCCUGUAGCGCUGGCAGACCGCCGAAGGACCAACUUAAACUCUUGUUUCUAUGUGGCACAUCUGAGUUACAUAUAUAAAUAAGUCA
rnacentral:misc_RNA from 1 species